UGCAGGUGUCUCUGGUGUAGCGGCUGUCUCUGUGUCCAGCUGUCUCUGUGGUGUAGAGGCUGUCUCUGGGUCCACGUGUCUCUGUGGUGUAGAGGCUGUCUCUGUGCAGGUGUCUCUGGUGUAGCGGCUGUCUCUGUGUCCAGCUGUCUCUGUGUCCAGCUGUCUCUGUGGUGUAGCGGCUGUCUCUGUGUCCAGCUGUCUCUGUGUCCAGCUGUCUCUGUCCAGCUGUCUCUGUGGUGUAGAGGCUGUCUCUGGGUCCAGCUGUCUCUGUGGUGGCAAAGCUGUCUCUGGGUCCACGUGUCUCUGUGGUGUAGAGGCUGUUUCUGUGUCCAGGUGUCUCUGUGGUGUAGCGGCUGUCUCUGGGUCCAGGUGUCUCUGUGGUGUAGAGGCUGUCUCUGUGUCCAAGUGUCUGUGGUGUAGAGGCUGUCUCUGUGUCCAGGCGUCUCUGUGGUGUACAGGCUGUCUCUGGGUCCAGGUGUCUCUGUGGUCUAGAAGCUGUCUCUGGGUCCAGGUGUCUCUGGUGUAGAGGCUGUCUCUGUGUCCAGGUCUCCAUGGAGAUGGACCCAAUGUGCGCCUGGGUGCCGCCAGCUGCUGCUUCUGCACUUGAUGCGGCACUCAUGAAGCAGGAGGAGUCAUGGACGCAUGCGGCGUUGAAGCUGGAGGCUGCAGACAGCUGUACAGAGAGCCCGGGAGAGGCAGCGUCAUGGCUCACGGUGAAGAGCGAAGCCUCAGAGGACGGAGUGGACGGUGCCAGCUUCCCCUGCCAGGU